UGAAGGUCUGCUACAACCAUCUUUCUUUAAUCCACCAUGGCACUGCACAGACCUGCUUAAAAAGCUGCUGGGUAAGCUGCCCCUCAUCCUGCAACAAGCUGCUCUAGUAUUGCCCUGGCACCCAAAGCUUUGGGAUAGGCAUUGCAGCUGCAGUGCUACUGCUGCUCAGGUUACUUGGGAAAAGCCCAUACCUAUAGCCAGCCUAUGGAUGGCCCACAGAGAUCAUCCUGUGCCACAGGAAUUAGUGACCCCCUGGAGAACGUCUGCACUUGCUCCAGGCUCCAUUGCCCUUUCUCUUGCACUGGGCAGCUGAUCAACACUAGGUUGCUAAGGGUGGAGAGAUUGUUCUCAGCCUGUCUUCAUGUGGAAAGGUGCUGCUUUCAUCUUGGACUUGGACGGAGGGGUAUGUGUGUCUAACAGCCUCUUUUUUGCCUCCCAACCUGUAUCUGCUGGUUUAAUAGGAGGUGCUGCCUCUCUAGACCUUCUCAGCACUCUAACUUUUAUUGCAUUUGAAUGUCUCAAAGAAUCAAAGCACACAAGGUGUAUGAGAGGCCUGGCUGAGGGAAGGCACCUGUGUGUGUCCUUCUUGUCUAGCAUGCUGUGUUGAGAGGUGCAGAAAUGCCUGUCGAUAUCUCCACUGCAGACAUUGCAAAAGCUUCGUCCCACCUGGAAGAUCAAUUUGAAAUGGAUCCUGUGGCAUGCCAGGUGCUGUCCAGAGAGCUUGACAGUGGAGGAAACAGUGAAAGAAUGGCGACUGUGGUACCAUUGAUCAAGCCAGUGUGUCUGUUCUUGGUAGAGCGGCUAAUAAGGCCACCGGUGCAGUGAGAACGUAAACCCCAGAGAAAGAGUCAGCAGGGAAAGAGAGACCAAUGCAGAGAGCAAGAUCUAAUAUGGACCUGAUAACCGACAAUGGGAUUUCAGCAGGGACUGUACAAAUCCGAAAUAGAAGUUGGCAAUUACUCCAGAGAGAUCAUCGUCUGCCUCAAUACAGGAAACAAAUAGAUUGGCCAGCUGAGGCAAAGAAGGCAGUGGAUAACCCUGUUUCAAAGAAAUGCUCCACUUGGAAACUGCAGAAGAAGGCUCAUCAAUCUUUAUACAUCCAGAAUGGAAGCAGAUCGGCAGAGCAGAGCACCAGAGUCCUUCCCAUUCAGAAGUCCAUCGGCUACUAG
rnacentral:lncRNA from 1 species